rnacentral:rRNA from 1 species
UAAUUUGAGAGUUUGAUCCUGGCUCAGGACGAACGCUGGCGGCGUGCCUAAUACAUGCAAGUCGAACGAACUCUGGUAUUGAUUGGUGCUUGCAUCAUGAUUU